CCUCUGCGUUCGCUGCGCGCUGCUGGAGGCUGUGGUCGCAAUGCUCCCCAAACGGCGGCGAGGGCGGAUCGAGUCCCCUAGCGGCGAUGCCGUUUCCUCCACGCCGCCCUCGACGCGCUUCCCCGGAGUCGCCAUCUACCUGGUCGAGCCUCGCAUGGGUCGCAGCCGCCGGGCCUUCCUCACACGCCUGGCGCGCUCCAAAGGCUUCCGCGUCCUUGACGCCUGCAGCUCCGAAGCAACACAUGUUGUGAUGGAAGAGACCUCAGCAGAGGAGGCCGUCAGCUGGCAGGAGCGCAGGAUGGCAGCUGCUCCCCCGGGUUGCACCCCCCCAGCUCUGCUGGACAUAAGCUGGUUAACAGAGAGCCUGGGAGCUGGGCAGCCUGUACCUGUGGAGUGCCGGCACCGCCUGGAGGUGGCUGGGCCAAGGAAGGGGCCUCUGAGCCCAGCAUGGAUGCCUGCCUAUGCCUGCCAGCGCCCCACGCCCCUCACGCACCACAACACUGGCCUCUCAGAGGCUCUAGAGACACUGGCCGAGGCAGCGGGCUUUGAAGGCAGUGAGGGCCGCCUCCUCACCUUCUGCAGAGCAGCCUCGGUGCUCAAGGCCCUUCCCAGCCCUGUCACAACCCUGAGCCAGCUGCAGGGGCUUCCCCACCUUGGAGAACACUCCUCUAGGGUUGUCCAGGAGCUGCUGGAGCAUGGAGUGUGUGAGGAGGUGGAGAGAGUUCGGCGCUCAGAGAGCUCUUCACCCAGAUCUUCGGGGUCGGUGUGAGGACUGCUGACCGGUGGUACCGGGAAGGACUACGAACCUUGGAUGACCUCCGAGAGCAGCCCCAGAAACUAACCCAACAGCAGAAAGCGGGUGAGCCCUCCAGAGAGGCUGGGCCCUGGGCUUCCCUAAACUGCACCCUGGAUCCCUCAGCAUCAACUCCCUAGAGGGAAGGGAGCAGGCUGGUGCAGAGGGUUUGGCGGCAGCCUUGUGUGGUGGGCUUCCUGGGGUUUCCACCCAGUGCAGUCAGCAUCUAUCACAGCCCUUUCUCAGUGGACGAUGCUGACCACAGCAAUUUCCAUGAUAUGCCAGGGGCUUGUGUCCACCUACUGGUUAGACUUUGACCAGUGACCGGGGACAGCCUGGGCCUUGGGCACACUGCCCAGUGUGGUGCCUGGCACCGAGCAAGGGAAAGAACAUCAGCUUUCGAGUUUGUUAGGCCUGGGUUUGAGUCCUGUCUACCAUUUGCCAGGUAGGUGACCAUUGCCCAAGAAGUAACCUCUCUGAGUCUGUUACAUUUUCUGUAAAAUGGAGAAGGAAGACUGGGCAUGGUGACUCACACCUGUAAUCCCAGCACUUUGGGAGGUCAAGGUGGGUAGAUCGCUUGAGCUCAGCCGUUCAAGACCAGUCUGGGCAACAGGGUGAAACCCCGUCUCUACAAGAAAUACAAGAGUUAGCCAGGCGUGAUGGUGGAUGCCCGUAGUACCAGCUACUCAUGAGGCUGAGGUACAAGGAUCGCUUGAGCCCCGGAGGUCAAGCCUUGAGGCCAAGGUGGAAGUUGCAGUGAGCUGAGAUUGAGCCACUGCACUCCAGCCUGAGUGACAGAGCAAGACCCUAUCUCAAAAAAAAAAAAAAAAAA
rnacentral:sRNA from 1 species